UACGAAGGGGGCUAGCGUUGCUCGGAAUUACUGGGCGUAAAGCGCACGUAGGCGGCUUUCUAAGUCGGGGGUGAAAUCCUGGAGCUCAACUCCAGAACUGCCUUCGAUACUGGAAAGCUCGAGUCCGAGAGAGGUGAGUGGAACUGCGAGUGUAGAGGUGAAAUUCGUAGAUAUUCGCAAGAACACCAGUGGCGAAGGCGGCUCACUGGCCCGGUACUGACGCUGAGGUGCGAAAGCGUGGGGAGCAAACAGG
rnacentral:rRNA from 1 species